rnacentral:rRNA from 1 species
AUUGAACGCUGGCGGCAGGCCUAACACAUGCAAGUCGAUCGGAUGAGUGGAGCUUGCUCCAUGAUUCAGCGGCGGACGGGUGAGUAAUGCCUAGGAAUCUGCCUGGUAGUGGGGGACAACGUUUCGAAAGGAACGCUAAUACCGCAUACGUCCUACGGGAGAAAGUGGGGGAUCUUCGGAACUCACGCUAUCAGAUGAGCCUAGGGCGGAUUAGCUAGUUGGUGAGGUAAAGGCUCACCAAGGCGACGAUCCGUAACUGGUCUGAGAGGAUGAUCAGUCACACUGGAACUGAGACACGGUCCAGACUCCUACGGGAGGCAGCAGUGGGAAUAUUGGACAAUGGGCGAAAGCCUGAUCCAGCCAUGCCGCGUGUGUGAAGAAGGUCUUCGGAUUGUAAAGCACUUUAAGUUGGGAGGAAGGGCAGUAAGUUAAUACCUUGCUGUUUUGACGUUACCAACAGAAUAAGCACCGGCUAACUUCGUGCCAGCCGCCGCAGUAACAC